rnacentral:rRNA from 1 species
UAAUNCCGCANACGACCUAAGGGAGAAAGCGGGGGAUCUUCGGACCUCGCGCUAUAGGGGCGGCCGAUGGCAGAUUAGCUAGUUGGUGGGGUAAAGGCCUACCAAGGCGACGAUCUGUAGCUGGUCUGAGAGGACGACCAGCCACACUGGGACUGAGACACGGCCCAGACUCCUACGGGAGGCAGCAGUGGGGAAUUUUGGACAAUGGGGGAAACCCUGAUCCAGCAAUGCCGCGUGUGUGAAGAAGGCCUUCGGGUUGUAAAGCACUUUUGUCCGGAAAGAAAACUUCCUGGUUAAUACCUGGGGAGGCUGACGGUACCGGAAGAAUAAGCACCGGCUAACUACGUGCCAGCAGCCGCGGUAAUACGUAGGGUGCGAGCGUUAAUCGGAAUUACUGGGCGUAAAGCGUGCGCAGGCGGUUUGUUAAGACAGAUGUGAAAUCCCCGGGCUUAACCUGGGAACUGCAUUUGUGACUG